GUCUACGGCCAUACCACCCUGAACGUACCCUAUCUCGUGUGAUCUUGGAAGCUAAGCAGGGUCGGGCCUGGUUAGUACUUGGAUGGUAGAAAAUGUGAAAACAACUAAUAACAGAAGAGG
rnacentral:rRNA from 1 species